rnacentral:rRNA from 1 species
GACGAACGCUGGCGGCGUGCUUAACACAUGCAAGUCGAACGGAAAGGCCCUGCUUUUGUGGGGUGCUCGAGUGGCGAACGGGUGAGUAACACGUGAGUAACCUGCCCUUGACUUUGGGAUAACUUCAGGAAACUGGGGCUAAUACCGGAUAGGAGCUCCUGCUGCAUGGUGGGGGUUGGAAAGUUUCGGCGGUUGGGGAUGGACUCGCGGCUUAUCAGCUUGUUGGUGGGGUAGUGGCUUACCAAGGCUUUGACGGGUAGCCUGCCUGAGAUGGUGACCGGCCACAUUGGGACUGAGAUACGGCCCAGACUCCUACGGGAGGCAGCAGUGUGGAAUAUUGCACAAUGGGCGGAAGCCUGAUGCAGCAACGCCGCGUGCGGGAUGACGGCCUUCGGGUUGUAAACCGCUUUCGCCUGUGACGAAGCGUGAGUGACGGUAAUGGGUAAAGAAGCACCGGCUAACUACGUG